AAGUCGAGCGAACGGACGAGAAGCUUGCUUCUCUGAUGUUAGCGGCGGACGGGUGAGUAACACGUGGAUAACCUACCUAUAAGACUGGGAUAACUUCGGGAAACCGGAGCUAAUACCGGAUAAUAUUUUGAACCGCAUGGUUCAAAAGUGAAAGACGGUCUUGCUGUCACUUAUAGAUGGAUCCGCGCUGCAUUAGCUAGUUGGUAAGGUACCGGCUUACCAAGGCAACGAUGCAUAGCCGACCUGAGAGGGUGAUCGGCCACACGUGGAACUGAGACACGGUCCAGACUCUUACGGGAGGCAGCAGUAGGGAAUCUUCCGCAAUGGGCGAAAGCCUGACGGAGCAACGCCGCGUGAGUGAUGAAGGUCUUCGGAUCGUAAAACUCUGUUAUUAGGGAAGAACAUAUGUGUAAGUAACUGUGCACAUCUUGACGGUACCUAAUCAGAAAGCCACGGCUAACUACGUGCCAGCAGCCGCGGUAAUACGUAGGUGGCAAGCGUUAUCCGGAAUUAUUGGGCGUAAAGCGCGCGUAGGCGGUUUUUUAAGUCUGAUGUGAAAGCCCACGGCUCAACCGUGGAGGGUCAUUGGAAACUGGAAAACUUGAGUGCAGAAGAGGAAAGUGGAAUUCCAUGUGUAGCGGUGAAAUGCGCAGAGAUAUGGAGGAACACCAGUGGCGAAGGCGACUUUCUGGUCUGUAACUGACGCUGAUGUGCGA
rnacentral:rRNA from 1 species